UACGUAGGGUGCAAGCGUUGUCCGGAAUUAUUGGGCGUAAAGAGCUCGUAGGCGGUCUGUCGCGUCUGCUGUGAAAAUCCAGGGCUCAACCCUGGACCUGCAGUGGGUACGGGCAGACUAGAGUGCGGUAGGGGAGAUCGGAAUUCCUGGUGUAGCGGUGAAAUGCGCAGAUAUCAGGAGGAACACCGGUGGCGAAGGCGGUUCUCUGGGCCUGUACUGACGCUGAGGAGCGAAAGCGUGGGGAGCGAACAGG
rnacentral:rRNA from 1 species